rnacentral:rRNA from 1 species
UGGUAGUGACGGGCAGGCGGCGGGGGGAAGACGGAGGGGGCAAGCGUUGGUUGGAAGUGUUGGGGGUAGAGGGCGCGUAGGCGGUUGGUUUCGUCUGUCGUGAAAGCCCACGGCUUAACCGUGGGGCUGCGGUGGAUACGGGCAGACGAGAGGCAGGUAGGGGAGAACGGAAUUCCCGGUGUAGCGGUGAAAUGCGCAGAUAUCGGGAGGAACACCGGUGGCGAAGGCGGUUCUCUGGGCCUGUACUGACGCUGAGGAGCGAAAGCGUGGGGAGCGAACAGGAUUAGAUACCCCUUAGUC